CGCGCCAAUGCACGCCAGCCUGGGAGACAGAGCAAGACUCUGUCUCAAAAAAAAGAAAAAAGUUUGGAUUAAGAAUACAGUAUUGGUGAGCAGCCAUCUUGCUCCUGCCCCUGACAGUCUCUGGUCGGGGUCACAGGGAUGCUUAGACUGCUGCCUGGACCUUUGCUGACCAUGCUGUCCCGGGUGGAACUUUCUGCCACUGCCACAGCGGCCCCCUCUCUGAAUAAUGCAGCCUUCCUAGGUCCAGCGGUAUUGCAGGCAACAAGGACCUUUCACGCAGGCAGCCACACCUUGGCCCUCUACCACCUUUCCCUGAAUGUGGAGGAAAAGUUCGUCUUGGACUGAUCCUUGAGGAAUUCUUCAAGUUUCUUUAUCUUAAAGCUGGUGUAACAGGACCUUAUGUGCUCAGAACUAGGCUUAUCCGGUAUCCUUUAUCCAAAGAAAUAUAUGUGAUUAUUGCAGAGACCUUCUCAACCAUAUUAGUAGUAGCGUUACUUGUCUAUGCAAUUAAAAAAUAUGGUGCCUCUGUUGCAGAAUUUGCUGAUAAACUCAAUGAGCAAAAACUUGCCCAACUAGAAGAGGCGAAGCAGGCUUCCAUCCAACAAAUCCAGGAUGCAAUUGAUUUGGAGAAGUCACAGCAGGCACUGGUUCAGAAGCUCCAUUACCUUUUCGAUGUGCAGAGGAAUAACACUGCUGUGGCUUUGGAAGUUACUUACCAGGAACGACUGUAUAAAGUAUAUAAGGAAGUAAAGAAUCGCCGGGACUAUCAUAUAUCUGUGCAGAACAUGAUGCGUCGAAAGGAACAACAGCACAUGAUAAAUUGGGUGGAGAAGCACGUGGUGCAGAGCAUCUCUGCACAGCAGAAAAAGGAGACAACUGCUAAGUGCAUUGCGGACCUCAAGCUUCUGGCAAAGAAGGCUCAAGCACAGCCAGUUAUGUAAAUGUAUCUAUCCCAAUUGAGACAGCUAGAAAUAGUUGACUGACUAAAUGGAAACUAGUCUAUGUGACAAAAUCUUUCUAUAUUGCUGUCUACUGAAGUUAUAAUUUACCUCUCUUAAAAAUGAAAAGUUUAUUUCAUAUAGUGAAAGCACAAAAUCUAUUGGCCAGUCAGAUGUUUCUCAUCCUUUUUACUCUGCAUUUGAGUUCCAUGACCACUUCUGAAUAAGCAGUUUGCCUUUAUUAAAACCUGCUGCCUGAUUAAAGAUUACCAGGUUAUAGUUUAAAUUUGCAAUUAAUUCUACCAUCUUGCAAUAAAGUGACAAUUGAAUGAAAAAAA